rnacentral:lncRNA from 1 species
UUCUGCACGGGCUUCUGGGCAGGCAGUAUUAACACUCUGGAGAAGGUCUGCCUCUGUCUGCGCCUUCCUGGUUCGAUGCAGGCAGAUGAGUGUCACAGCUGUAACUGAGGCACUGAAUAAUCAACAUAUCAGAGCCAAUUCCCAUGAUGGCAAGAGGGGGAACCAGAGAUGACUGACCGUGGAGGACAAGAGCAUUCUUCUGACAAGUUUUAGCAUGGACUAUCCUCAGGAAAAUGAGAUCCAGGAAGAGUGACGCCCUCCUCGAACUGAAAGCUCCUCAGGCUGAUGGAGUCAGGGAGGAAGUGGUUUAUCAACAGCACAGGAUAUCUGAAGGGAACAGAACGUAUCCAGACAUGCCCCAGAUUGUCUACCCAUGGGGACUGAGAUACCUCUGAGAUUUACAUCAGGAAGGAGAGGCUGUUUCUACAGGUGCCACAGAAAAAUCGAUGCAGAGCCACCGAUUAUUGGAUCCCAUAGAACUGUGGAGACUUGGCAGUGAAAUUCUUCCAAAGCACUCUGUCUGCGCAGGCAGAGGUGUUCCUGGUUUGGGAAGUAUAAAUCCCGUGGGAAGCCAACUGGAGGACAUUUUAUGCAUCACUCAUCCUAUUAUGAGCCUGCUGCUCUUCUGUCUCUUGACAAGGCCACCGACUAGAAGGGCACAGAAUUAUUCAUAAAACAGCUGAAUGUGAAUGUCUUUGGAUUCCCAUUUAAUGAGUUGGCAGCUAAAGGACAGGAGCAGCAAUAAGGCUUCCUAGGGACAUUUUCAUGGUGCCACCAACUGCGAG